AGUUUCACUCUUCAAAACUUCAAAUUUGAAGUUUUGAAAUUCCUUUUUGGAAAGCAAAAAACUCUAUAUUUGGAGUUAUAGAGUUUCUUUUGGAGAUGCUCUAAAAAAAGGUGAAGCAAUUAAAAUAACAAAAGAAACAAAAAAAAGGUGAGAGACAAUAAAUGAAGAAUGCUGGUAUUGGGCAGAUCAAUAACUCAACCACUCCUCUGACUAACUUUUAUAGUCACUCCUUUACCACUUUUUGAUUCCCUUUCUCAUCUUAAUUCUCAUAACUUAUUUUCUGUUCGUAGUCUUUGUACCUUUCCUACUUUUUUCGUUUCUCUUUCACCCCUCUUACGCGGUUCCUCUAAUUUCUUUUUAUUAUUUUCAUGUUCCUGGGACCAUAGGGUUGAAACAAUAAUUUUUUGGGUAAUAGCUAGUCAACGUAAAUCAAUUAUAGUGUUGGCGAUUGAGUUAUUAAAAUUUUGAGACUGUAAACUGGUAACAGAUGCAGAACAAGAUGCUCUUAUAUCUCCUAUUAAAAUGCAAUUAUUUGGUUGAAAAUAGCUUAGUAAAACAUUUGUAUUAGAUACUUGAUUUGAAAGAUUUUUGUAAGUAGGCUCAACUCAAUAUAGCAUUAGUGGAAGAUAUGGGAACUUAGAUUUUAUUUUUGCUAGAACAAGUAAUAACAUAGUAAAUGAGAAUCCAGUGACAUGUCUCAAAAAGUAAAUCCAAUGUUUUUACUGCGAUAUCUUGAAAUUUGAAAGAGAGAGGGACAGAGAGUGUGGGGACCAGAGACACCCAUGUUUCUUGUCUUGUUUAUCUUUGGUUCUCCACUAAAUUUCUUCAUAAAAAGCCCUUUUUAUUUCUUGAUUCUCUCUUCUAUCAUCACCACUCACUUAUCUUCUUCUCCAUCUCGUCUCUCUCUCUCUCUCUCUGUUUCUCUCUUGAUCUUAGCCGGGUCUUGUGGGAGGAGCAAACCGAUAGAGAGAUAAUUUUAGAUCAUUAUAAACCAUACAAUGAUUCUUCGAGGGAAGGGGCUUUCUCUUUUGAGGGGAAUGUUGUUUGGCUCGAAGACUCUAGCUUAUCAUGUUAGAUCUUCUUCGAUUUAAUCGAAUCAAACCUCCAUGUUUGAGAUCUGAUUUAGGAUUUUAGGGUCGUCGGACCAGGCUUCAUUCCCCCCAAUUAUUGCUCCCUGCUUACUCUCCAACGUACCCUUUUUCUUAAUUUAGGGUUUCAGAUCUUGUGGUUGAACCCUUUUUAAAGAAAAAUAAGUUUCAGGUAUUUGCAGAUUGUUGUAAUGAUGGAAGAAACUGACUUUCUUACUCUUGGAAUUUGCAAGUGUCAUCAUUACAACCUUUAGGUUUUGAUUACUUUUUUCUGCGCUGCUAUGAUUGUGUUAUGAUUGCCUUUUUUUUUUGUCAGGUAGAAUAAAGUUAUAGGACUGGAUCUUCAUUGUCAUGCAUGAUGAUGAAAGUAUAGUUUCUCUGUCUGUUUCUUACCACACCAGAUCCACUAGAUUUGGAUCUUAAUAACUUUCUACAACACAACUAGCUAGGGCUUUCUGGAUUUUCUUCUGGAAAUUAAUUAAGAAUUUAUAUAUGCAAAGACAAUAUUGAACUAAUACUUUUAAUUAUAAGGAUAUCUUAUGCAGAUACUUUUGCAUGCGAAGAUCAGUAUCUUGAUUCUGGAUAUCGUUUCUCCUUCUAAAUUACCCGCACAAUACAUCUUGUAACCAUUUUCAUAUAUUACUCAAAUGUGAAAAGAUUUCGUUGUCUCAUAGUUAAGCUUAAUCUUGUAUAUGAUAUAGUGGUCUUACUUAAUUAUAUUUCUAUUAUAUAAUUACAUUUGGAGUAUUAUAUUUAUAUCAUCUGUUCGUCAAGAGUUGUUUUACUAUAUAUCUUACAUCUUUCACUUAUGUAACGAAGAUUCUUCAAUCCAGCUUUAUUCUUGAAA